rnacentral:misc_RNA from 1 species
GCCUCCCCUUAUAAACUGGUCCAAAACCACCUUUCCCAAGCUUAUUUGCAGCUGAAAAAUAAUUUGUGGCAGUGGCAAUGAUUUCGAAACUGAAUACAUGUAACUCACUCUCUCCUUCCUCUUGUCUUUCUGUUGCAUUUCCUACUAAUUCAUUUAAUAGAGUCUUCUGAUCGAUCCUCGUUUCCCCUUUUUCCUUGAGUUCCUUGAGCUUUGUCCACAAUACAUAGCAAAAGGGGGAAUGAUAGCAACUCCUCCUACUGCAAUUGUUAACCAUAGCCACCACUUGUUUUCUUUGCCAAUGAAGUAUAUUUGUCUUUGGCCAUCUGAACUAGUCCUUCUGAAACCUGCUGUUGUGCUCCAAAUUUCACAGCCAGUGUCAUCGUUAUAUUUUGAAGCAUAGGCAGCACAAGAACAGCUGUUCAAGCAUUUAGCCCUGCAAUCUUGAAGAGUCAGAUUCUCAGUUGCACUAUACUCAACAAAUCCAUUAUAGGACAUGUAACCAUCAUGGGGUG